UACGAAGGGGGCUAGCGUUGUUCGGAAUCACUGGGCGUAAAGCGCACGUAGGCGGAUCUUUAAGUCAGGGGUGAAAUCCCGAGGCUCAACCUCGGAACUGCCUUUGAUACUGGGGAUCUCGAGUCCGGGAGAGGUGAGUGGAACUGCGAGUGUAGAGGUGAAAUUCGUAGAUAUUCGCAAGAACACCAGUGGCGAAGGCGGACUCACUGGCCCGGAACUGACGCUGAGGUGCGAAAGCGUGGGGAGCAACAGG
rnacentral:rRNA from 1 species